UCGGGCGGCGCCUGGCAGAGGCAGAGAUGCUGCUGCUGCUGCACCAUGUGCUGAAACACCUCCAGGUGGAGACACUAACCCAAGAGGACAUAAAGAUGGUCUACAGCUUCAUAUUGAGGCCCAGCACGUUCCCCCUCCUCACCUUCAGAGCCAUCAACUAAUCACGUCUCUGCACCCAGGGUCCCAGCCUGGCCACCAGCCUCCCUUUCUGCCUGACCCCAGGCCACCCCUCUUCUCUCCCACAUGCACAGCUUCCUGAGUCACCCCUCUGUCUAACCAGCCCCAGCACAAAUGGAACUCCCGAGGGCCUCUAGGACCAGGGUUUGCCAGCUAAGCAGCAAUGCCAGGGCACAGCUGGGGAAGAUCUUGCUGACAGGGCCUGACCUUGUCCCCAGCCCCACCUGGCCCUUUCUCCAGCAAGCAGUGUCCUCUGGGCAGUUGGCCCCCAUCCCUCCCAGUGCUGGCUCCAGGCUCCUCGUGUGGCCAUGCAAGGGUGCUGUGGUUUUGUCCCUUGCCUUCCUGCCUAGUCUCACAUGUCCCUGUUCCUUUUCCCCUGGCCAGGGCCCCUGCGCAGACUGUCAGAGUCAUUAAGCGGGAUCCCAGCAUCUCAGAGUCCAGUCAAGUUCCCUCCUGCAGCCUGCCCCCCAGGCAGCUCG
rnacentral:lncRNA from 1 species